GCCGGAGUGGUGGAACUGGCAGACACGCACGACUUAAGAUCGUGUGCCCUAGUGGCGUGAGGGUUCGACUCCCUCCUCCGGCA
rnacentral:tRNA from 3 species